rnacentral:rRNA from 1 species
GUCUACGGCCAUACCACCCUGAACGCGUCUGAUCUCGGAAGCUAAGCAGGGUCGGGCCUGGUUAGUACUUAGAUGGGAGACCGCCUGGGAAUACCGGGUGCUGUAGGCU